rnacentral:RNase_P_RNA from 1 species
CGAGUCAGCCGAGAUAAUCGCUGCCUGCAACGAAAAUGCGCAGGGGGAGGAAAGUCCGGGCUCCACAGGGCAGGGUGCCAGCUAACGGCUGGGGGGCGCGAGCCUACGACAAGUGCAGCAGAGAGGAGACCGCCAACUUCGGUUGGUAAGGGUGAAAGGGUGCGGUAAGAGCGCACCGGGCCACUGGUAACAGUUGGUUGCAAGGUAAACUCCACCCGGAGCAAGACCAAAUAGGGUUCCUUAUGGCGUGGCCCACGUUGGAACCGGGUAGGUUGCUUGAGCCAUAGAGCGAUUUAUGGCCUAGACGAAUGAUUAUCCACGACAGAACCCGGCUUACUGGCUGACUCACCAA